rnacentral:rRNA from 1 species
AGUAACGCGUGAGUAACCUGCCUCUCAGAGGGGGAUAACGUUCUGAAAAGGACGCUAAUACCGCAUGACAUCCCGGGCCGGCAUGGUCCUGGGAUCAAAGGAGCAAUCCGCUGAGAGAUGGACUCGCGUCCGAUUAGCUAGUUGGUGAGAUAAAGGCCCACCAAGGCGACGAUCGGUAGCCGGACUGAGAGGUUGAACGGCCACAUUGGGACUGAGACACGGCCCAGACUCCUACGGGAGGCAGCAUG